GCACUUGUAGUGUAACGGAUAGCACAUAAGAUUCCGGUUCUUAUAAUGAGAGUUCGAUUCUCUCCAAGUGCA
rnacentral:tRNA from 1 species